rnacentral:misc_RNA from 1 species
AUCAAAUAAAGACAUUAAAUCCACUAUUCUUAUACAUCACUAAUAUUAAUCAAUGUAAAACCAAAAUAAUAAGAAGAUAGUAUGUAAAUAACUAACUUUUUUACCACCAAAAUAAGUGUCCAAGAAACUAUUGAUUAUCUUGACUUUGAUCCUAUGAGUGGAAUUGGGGGCUUUUAUCAUUAGUUUAAGUUGUAAACUUACAUGUAAUUAGGUUACUUACUUACUAUGUGAUUAGGUUGUAA